AACAAAGGAUUCUUUUUUUUUUUUUUUGGUUAUAAAUCAGAGGGUUGGAGCUUCUCUUUUAUCUAUUUCUUGCAAGAGUAGCAUUUUUUCUCUUUAUUUCUUGCUCGCAACAACCAUUGGAGCACACCUUGAUUGAUGAUGUUGGCAUGGAUACAGUGAUGGGAUAGAUUGAUGAUGUUUGCAUGGGCGCAAUUUACAUUAUAUUUUUGUUUAUAGAAAACAUGUACACCUUAUAUGUUUUGUUAUUAAGAUUUUAUUUAAUUUUGAUUUUAAUUGUUGGUUUGGAUAGUAUAUGUAUUUGUUAGAUUAUACUAUGUUUAUGGAUUCUUAUUUUCUUUGAUAUGUACGAUUAAUAGUUAAGUUUUGUA